CAAUCAUAUAUUGAAUUGUUUUCCAAUAUUUAAAUUGAGAAACCUUUAGAAUAAUGUAGCAUGGCAUAAUGUCUCGGUCUUGUUUUAGUCUACAACUGUUAAACUGGGAAGUUGGACAAUCAUUCAAACUUAGAUAAUGAAUUCUUAAAUGUUGUUGUUACACGCUACUUUCGCACUAACAUUGUAGAGGCUAGUUUUUUAUUUGGUGGAGGACGCUAAACUAGUAAUGCGAGUUUCUGGAAUAACAUUAUUUAAAACAAACUACUCAAUAGACGAUGACUUACUGCCAAUACUUUUAUGUCGAAUCUUCCGGUUUAUUUUCUUAUGAUUUAUACUAUACACUUAUACAGAUAUAAGUUUUACUGCUGUAAGCGAAUCCGACCAUUAUUUGAGUUACUUACUAAUAAUAAGAGAUUUCUCUAGACACAAAUUAUAGCUGUAUUGGGUCAGUGUUGGUUAGAAGACCCCUCCCCCCAAAUAAAAAAAAAUACUUUGAAGAAAAUUGUGUAAACACACUCCAAAUAUGGAAGUCAAGCUUAUGGAGUCAUGAAAUUAGAAGUUUAUUUCCUUUUUCUUUUGGAGGGAAGUUUGGCAGGGAGAAGGGUGUAUGUGUGCUGUAAUCGGGACACACAAUGUUUGUAUCUUAAACUUUAAAAGGCAAAAAUAAACAGAAAAAAAAAAAAAAAAACAAGAACAAACAAAAAGGAAAAAAAAAUUUUUUUUAUUUAAAUUUAUUCAUUAUAUUUCAACAGCCACGUCUUAUUUUUAAGUGACUUUCUUAAAUUUUAUGUUUCAACGUUUGAAAUAUUUUAUUUAGAUAUACCUGUUCACUCGCAAAAGAUUGUUUUUUUUUUAGUAAAUAGAGG
rnacentral:lncRNA from 1 species